GAAGAAUUCUUCUAAUCCAAAGGAACGAAGCAAUAUCACGAUAAUAACGUGACCGAUGUCCGAUAAAAGCACUGCAUAAUACGUAUAACAAAAAAUCCAUAACAUUCGGGUAUGUACGUACGUACGUACGUCUAGGGGUAUCUAUUUUUUGGCCGAAAGUCACGCGAUUUAUUUAUUCGAAAGGAAUUCGUUGCGCAUCGCUACCGCAUGCGUUUCCAUGAAAUAAGGAGUGUUCGUUUACUGUUAGUUGGGUAAAUACAGUAACAUCUUGGACGAUCAUAUAAAUGAAUGGAAAAUCUUACGAACAGAGAAAAUAUACGGAGCGGGCACGUGAAUACAUCGAGUCAUAUCUUGUGAUAUCUGCAGUUGUCGAAGAAUCGCAAGACAUGGAAAAAAGAUUCAUUCAAUUAUUUAUUCGUUUGUGUACCUUGUUGUGCGUUCAUUCGUCCAUGUAAUUAUUUGCUUCAAAUGAACGAACGUGAAGAAAAUCAAGACAUGGACGUGCAAUCUCAUGCGGACAUGUUUUUCAAAAGUAGGACGAAAGUGAACCUUUCCAGGUUACGCUGUAAUUAUGAUUCGUGAAUAUAAAACUGUCCCUCACUUGACAUUUCCGUAUCAUCACCAUCUGUGUCCGCGACGAGUGGGAUUGGUAAAUUCACACCACUGAGGUAGGAAAGAAAGUUAAACGCGAUUACAACGCACAGAUGUGAAUAUGUGUUGCCCCGCUAAUAAGAAAGAGGAAAUGUGAAACAAUGGGAAUUUGUUACGUAUUUUUUCCGUUCGUAUUUGCGGUUCGCUGAUCGAAUGGUACCGAACGCAGUUGUGUUGCUUUUGCAGUUUUUCAUUGUAAUCGCUUUCGCAUGUUGACAUUGCGGUAAUAGGAACAU
rnacentral:lncRNA from 1 species